UACGUAGGGCGCAAGCGUUAUCCGGAAUUAUUGGGCGUAAAGAGCUCGUAGGCGGUUUGUCGCGUCUGCCGUGAAAGUCCGGGGCUCAACUCCGGAUCUGCGGUGGGUACGGGCAGACUAGGAGUGCGGUAGGGGUGACUGGAAUUCCUGGUGUAGCGGUGGAAUGCGCAGAUAUCAGGAGGAACACCGGUGGCGAAGGCGGGACUCUGGGCCGAUACUGACGCUGAGGAGCGAAAGCGUGGGGAGCAAACAGG
rnacentral:rRNA from 1 species